GCCAGGUGUGGUGGUGCACACCUGUAGUCCUAGCUGCUUGGGAGGCUGAGGCAAGAGGAUUGCUUGAGCCCAGGAAUUUCAGGGUGAGUGACUGCCUCGGCAUCUAGCCUGGGCGACAGAGUGAGACCCUAUCUCUU
rnacentral:SRP_RNA from 1 species